UUGAUCUAAUGAGCAUGUGUCACUGUC
rnacentral:sRNA from 1 species